GGUUAGCUCAGUCGGUAGAGCAUGAGACUCUUAAUCUCAGGGUCGUGGGUUGUCCUUCAAACACGAUGUCAGAAUUGUCUGAAACUAGUUACAUACAUAUUGAGUUGCAAUCCACACCUAUCCA